rnacentral:rRNA from 1 species
UACGGAGGAUGCGAGCGUUAUCCGGAUUUAUUGGGUUUAAAGGGUGCGCAGGCGGCACGGCAAGCCGGCGGUCAAAUCGCGGGGCUCAACCCCGCCCAGCCGUCGGAACUGCCGGGCUAGAGUGGGCGAGAAGUGCGCGGAAUGCGUGGUGUAGCGGUGAAAUGCAUAGAUAUCACGCAGAACUCCGAUUGCGAAGGCAGCGCACCGGCGCCCUACUGACGCUGAGGCACGAAAGCGUGGGGAGCAAAUAGG